rnacentral:rRNA from 1 species
CCCUUAGAUGUUCUGGGCUGCACGCGUGCUACACUGAUAUUGCCAAUAUGUCAUUCUUAUCCGAAAUGGAUUGGGUAAUCAAGUAAUGAAAUUUCAUGCUUGGAAUCGGUAAUUGCAAUUUUAUCGUGAACGAGGAAUUCCUAGUAAGCACUAGUCAUAAGCUAAUGUUGAUUAUGUCCCUGCCCUUUGUACACACCGCCCGUCGCUACUACUGAUUGGGUGUUCAAGUGAGAUGCUUAGACCCUUGUUGCAUGGUUCAUUAUUGUGCUCCGAAAGGAAAAAGUUUCAAGCUUGAGUGUCUAGAGGAAGUAAAAGUCGUAACA